GUAAGGUAGUCACUAAGGUAGCCAUCCACAGAUACAGUUCAUCCUAAGGAUUCACCGUGCCACAUGCAUGUUUAACAUUAAAACAUAUUUAAUAAAAUCAUGCCAACAAAUAUUAUUUUAAUAGCUUAGUAUUCUAUGCACU